GACGAACGCUGGCGGCGUGCUUAACACAUGCAAGUCGAGCGGUAAGGCCCUUCGGGGUACACGAGCGGCGAACGGGUGAGUAACACGUGGGUGACCUGCCUCUAGCUCUGGGAUAAGCCUGGGAAACUGGGUCUAAUACCGGAUAUGACUCCACGGCGCAUGUUGUGGGGUGGAAAGCCUUGUGUGGCUAGAGAUGGGCCCGCGGCCUAUCAGCUUGUUGGUGGGGUGAGGCCUACCAAGGCGACGACGGGUAGCCGGCCUGAGAGGGCGACCGGCCACACUGGGACUGAGACACGGCCCAGACUCCUACGGGAGGCAGCAGUGGGGAAUCUUGCGCAAUGGGCGAAAGCCUGACGCAGCGACGCCGCGUGAGGGAUGACGGCCU
rnacentral:rRNA from 1 species